AGCAGCCGCGGUAAUUCCAGCUCCAAUAGCGUAUAUUAAAGUUGUUGCAGUUAAAAAGCUCGUAGUUGAAUUUCGGGGUUAGCAGGUCGGUCGUGCCAUUGGUAUGAACUGGUCUCGCUGAUCCCUCCCUCUUGACGAACUGUGACGCCAUUAAUUUGGUGUCGCAGGGAAUCAGGACUGUUACUUUGAAAAAUUAGAGUGUUUAAAGCAGGCUCACGCUUGAAUACAUUAGCAUGGAAUAAUGAAAUAGGACGUUUGAUCCUAUUUUGUUGGCUUCUAGGAUUGACGUAAUGAUUAAUAGGGAUAGUUGGGGGCAUUAGUAUUCAAUUGUCAGAGGUGAAAUUCUUGGAUUUAUUGAAGACUAACUACUGCGAAAGCAUUUGCCAAGGAUGUUUUCAUUAAUCAAGAACGAAAGUUAGGGGAUCGAAGACGAUCAGAUACCGUCGUAGUCUUAACCAUAAACUAUGCCGACUAGGGAUCGGAUGAUGUUAAUUUUUAAUGACUCAUUC
rnacentral:misc_RNA from 1 species